GUGCCCUUUCUCCCUUGUUUAUCUUGUAUCCUAGGUAGAAAAGUCUGGGAAGACAAAGCUGGGCCUUCUUGGCUGAGACCCAAUACCCGAGUUCCUGAAGGAGAUUGAGUCUCGCUCUAUUGCCCAGGCUGGAGUGCAGUGGCACAAUCUUGGCUCACUACUACAACCUCUGCCUCCCAGGUUAAAGCGAUGCUCCUGCCUCAGCCUCCUGAGCAGCUGGGAUUACAGACUACUCCAUGUGAAGAUAAGGAUGAAGACUUUUAUGAUGAUCCACUUCCACUUAAUGAAUAGUAAACAUAUUUUCUCUUCCUUAUAAUUAUCUCGGUAACAUUUUCUUUUCUGUAGCUUUAUUGUAAGAAUACAG
rnacentral:lncRNA from 1 species